AUGGACGCAACUGAUCUAGAGAAUCCAACAUCCAGAAACUCAUCUCAGAAAUCCAGCCGCCGUUCCAGUAGCCGGCGUUCUCAAAAGUCAGCUGGGCAACAAUCUUCCCCCACUGUAUUUCCAGAGAAAAGAGGCAAAUCUAGAUCUUUGAGGCAAAAGCAUGUGGCUGUUGACAAUAAAGAUGCCAAAAAGGGUAAAAACCAUGAGCGUAGAACUGAUACGGUGGAUGAGAGGUCCAAUUUUGUAGGUUUCGAAGUCUAUUCUGGCAAACUGUUUUAUGACAGGAAAAAUAAAAGUAUAGGGGCGGAUGGUCAUCUGUCAUCAAACAAGAAAGCUGAUACAACUGAUGCAAGACUCACAAGUAAAGCCCUUAUAUGGGGUUCUACUGUACUCAGCCUUGAGGAUGUCAUCUCUGUAUCUUAUAAUUCUGGCCUCCAACAUUUUACUUUACAUGCAUAUCCUGCUAAGAACUCUCUAUUUGGAAAGGCACAUAGAGCUCGGAAGGACUUCCGGUUUAUGGCCUCUACACUAGACGAGGCCAUUUUGUGGGUAACAUGCUUUGCAGAACAGAACAUAUACAUUAAUGUACUGCCUCAUCCUGCAACAUCCAGUAUUAAGCAAGACACAGAUGCCCCCCUUGGUGGGGUUCUAUUUGAUUACCCGCCAAUCAAAUGCAGAACUCCGCAGAGAAUACUUGUUAUAUUGAACCCUCGUUCUGGACAUGGUCGAUCAAUUAAAGUUUUCCAUGAAAAAGCAGAACCUAUAUUUAAGCUUGCAGGUUUUCACAUGGAAGUAGUUAAAACUACUCACGCUGGUCAUGCGAAGUCUCUCGCGUCUACUUUUGAUUUUGGCGCAUUCCCUGAUGGGAUUGUCUGUGUUGGCGGUGAUGGAAUAGUAAAUGAGGUGUUCAACGGUCUUCUCACCAGAAGCGAUAGAACAGAAGCUGUGUCAAUUCCAGUUGGAAUAAUCCCAGCAGGAUCGGACAACUCACUUAUUUGGACUGUUCUGGGAGUUAAGGAUCCUAUUUCUGCUUCAUUGUUGAUUGUUAAGGGUGGCUUUACAACCCUAGACAUAUUGGCUGUUGAGUGGCUCCAAUCCGGGCUAAUACAUUUCGGCACAACUGUUUCAUACUAUGGUUUUGUUAGUGAUGUAUUUGCAGAAGUGCAGCAUGGCAUAGCACUGAAAAAGUUUACUGAGCUGAAAAACUAUUUCAACUUUGCUGCAGUCCUGGAACUUUCCGAGAAAUACCAGAAGAGAUUUGGCCCUCUUCGAUAUUUUGUGGCUGGAGUACUCAAAUUUUUGUGUCUACCAAGUUACUUCUAUGAGUUAGAAUAUCUUCCUUUGUCCAAGGACAUGUCCGGGCAUGGAAAAGGUACAGGACAAGACAAAGUUGAAUUGUCUGAUGUCUAUACAGAUGUAAUGCGCAGUCGAUCAAAAAGAGAAGGAUUUCCACGAGCUUCCAGUUUUUCAAGUAUUGACUCUAUCAUGACUCCAAGUAGGAUGUCUCUUGGGGACUUUGACACAUCAGGUGGUACAGCGGCAAGCAGUGAACCGUCAGAGUAUGUUCGUGGUCUUGAUCCAAAAGCAAAACGGCAAUCUAUGGGCAGAAGCAACAUUGUUUCGGAACCAGAAGAAGUCCUACGCCCUCAACAGCAUCAUGCAUCAUACUGGCCAAGAACGAGGUCCAAAACAAGGACCGAUAGAAAUUCAGUUGGUGUCACAGCUUCUAAUGAUACACGGUUAUCUUGGGCAGCCCCUUCAAUGCAUGAUAAGGAGGACAUUUCCUCGACAAUAUCAGAUCCAGGACCUAUUUGGGACAAUGAACCAAAGUGGGACACUGGGCCAAGAUGGGACACAGAGCCAACUUGGGAGCCUGACCACCCUAUCGAACUUCCUGAACCACCAGAAGAUAUAGAAAUCGGAACAUCUAUGGAACUUGUGCCGAAUUUGGAUGAGAAAUGGGUUGUCAGGAAGGGGCACUUUCUUGGUGUCCUAGUAUGUAACCACUCAUGCAAAACAGUUCAAAGUUCCCAGAUUGUCGCGCCAAAUGCGAGCCAUGAUGACAACAGUCUGGACUUACUUUUAGUUGGCGGAAGGGGGAGAUGGAAGCUGUUGAGAUUUUUCAUACUACUGCAAUUUGGUCGCCACCUUUCUUUACCAUAUGUGGAAUAUGUGAAGGUGAAAUCAGUCAAGGUUAAACCUGGUGCAAACACCCACAAUGGCUGUGGGAUAGACGGGGAGCUCUGCCGCGUCAAGGGGCAGGUAGUCUGCUCCAUGCUACCGGAGCAGUGCAGGCUUAUUGGCCGGCAAUGUAAACAGCCUAUUUAA
rnacentral:rRNA from 1 species